GCAUAGGAAAAAACUGACGAAAACAGCAAAAUAAAAAAAUUAAGCAGGAACCAACUCACAUCCUCCAUGGAAAAUCGUGGAAUGUGUAAGGUAACGUGCCAGCUAAAAAAGUUUCAUUUUUUAAAAAAACCUAGCUCUACGUUGUAAACAGUGUCACAUUUAAGACAUUUUAAGAACAGAAAUAUCACACAAGUAUUCACCAACAGAAAGCUGGCAUAGCUAGAUUAGUAUGUCAUGGGACUUUAAGAAAUAGAGCUUAAUGAGGAAGAAGCCCCCCCAAAGACGAGAAACGUUUCUAUACGGGAACACAGCUGGUGACAAACGCACGCCAACAGAAUGGCUAUGGUGGGCUUCACGUCUCUAUAAGCAGCGGACGCACCCUGCCCUCAACAGGCAGCCGCCGUCUCCGGCUCAGGGAACAGGUGUGCCAGCCACGCAGGCACAGGUCUGAGGCAGCGGGGUCUGCAGUGUAUGGGGCCCGCAGGGCAGCGGGAAGGGCUGCACAGAUGAACGCGGGCCUGCAUGCACCUGCGGGAAAACGCAGACACACAUGGGCGGGGGCGGGAGUGGGGGGGAUUGUGGAAGGAAAACAAGAAGAAAAUAUGUUUACGUUUGCUCAGAUUUGCAUACAUACAGGAGGUAAUCACAGUGGUUCUCUAUAGGUCACUACAGACAGCGACAGAGAUGAGAACAAAAUUAAACCUUUUCAAUAAUAUUAA
rnacentral:antisense_RNA from 1 species